AGUGAACGCUGGCGGUAGGCCUAACACAUGCAAGUCGAGCGGCUGCAGGGUGCGUGCUCGCUGAUUCAGCGGCGGACGGGCGGGUGAUGCCUAGGUACCUGCCAGUCAGCGGUUGCUAACGUCCGAACACGGGGGCUAAUACCGCAAAAGCCCUUAGGGAGUACGUGGGGAAUCAUCGGAUCUUCCGCUAUCGCGUGAGUCUAUGUCGGAUUAGCUAGUUGGUGGGGUAAAGGCCUACCAAGCCGACGAUCCGUAGCUGGUCUGAGAGGAUGAUCAGUCACACUGGAACUGAGACACGGUCCAGACUCCUACGGGAGGCAGCAGUGGGGAAUAUUGGACAAUGGGCGAAAGCCUGAUCCAGCCAUACCGCGUGUGUGAAGAAGGUCUUCGGGUUGUAAAGCACUUUGAUUUGGGAAGAAAGGCAGUAAGUUAAUACCUUGCUGUUUUGACGGUACCAACAGAAUAAGCACCGGCUAACUUCGUG
rnacentral:rRNA from 1 species